rnacentral:pre_miRNA from 1 species
CUACUACUCCCUCCGUCCGGAAAUACUUGUCAUUGAAAUGGAUGUAUCUAGAUGUAUUUUAGUUCUAGACACAUCCAUUUUGAUGACAAGUAAUUCCGGAUGGAGGGAGUACUAU